AUUCUUUAUACAGAGCACAUAUACUAAAUUGGAAUGACACAGAAGAUUAACAAUGCCCCUGGGCAAAGCUGUCAUGCAAAUUCAAGAAGGAUUCCAUAUUUGU
ensembl:snRNA U6 U6 spliceosomal RNA